CUGGUAUAUAGGCACCUACAGCAACAUGUAGGUCCCCCUCACACUGCUCCCUGAUAUCCAAUGAUCAACAGAGUAUGCUGCGUCUGCAUGGGAAGGAAGUUUGUUCCCAUCUUGAGGGUAAUUGGUGUGAAGUCCUACCUUCUCAAAGAACACCAACUUUUUCAACAGGUUUGACAUAGUCUCCUGUAUUCAGCCAGUGGAAGUCUCUACUUAGAGUGAACUCCAUCCAUUGUCUGCUCCAAAAUGGUCUGGACUAUGCAGAAUCAACUCUCCACAACCACAAUCAAGUUUUAGCAGUGUCUUUUGAGAUCCAUUUGUCAUCUGUGUUGCACCAGCAGAAAAUCAUCUUUCUGGAUCAUAUUCAAGAUAAUAGUAUCAUGUUCUGCACACGGCUGGAAUCUGACUGGUACUGAGAAGAGUAGAGACGCUAAAUUGCAGCCACACUGUACUUGAAGGAGUUGUCCUUGUUUCAGUUUCAAGGGUCCUACUGUUAUGCACAGAUUUGGUUUUCCCUCAUCAUAUCACUGAAAAUGAUUUUCAGUAAAGAAAUAUGACCCCGAGACAAUUAAAAGAGGCAUUUAUAUCAAAGGAAAGAAUCCUAUAGCAGCCUGCUUAUUAAAUACAUAAUGCUUUGGUGGUUUUUCCUUUUGGAAUUUUUUAAUCAUGGGAAAAUUUCAUCUGAAGCAAACUGAAAAGUAUGAAGCAAAGAUUUGUAUAAUUUGUUCUCUGGGCUGCAUGCAGGUAUGAUGGUGUUGGGGCCACGUAUCUGUGCGAUGAAGAGGCUGAACCGCACUAACUGCUGUUAAUGGGAAAAAUAGGUGGCUAGACCCUCUCCCCGCAGUAAAUCCUCCCAUGGUUCUCUUUGGUGACAGCAAAGGUGACCACUGCUGCUUCUGUGGAGUGACGUAACAUAUGGCU
ensembl:lncRNA